rnacentral:rRNA from 1 species
CUAUACAUGCAAGUCGAACGCUUUGAUUUUCACCGGAGCUUGCUCCACCGAAAAUCAAAGAGUGGCGGACGGGUGAGUAACACGUGGGCAACCUGCCCAACAGAGGGGGAUAACACUUGGAAACAGGUGCUAAUACCGCAUAAUUUGUUUUCCCGCAUGGGAGAAUAAUAAAAGACGCUUCGGUGUCACUGUUGGAUGGGCCCGCGCUGCAUUAGUUAGUUGGUGGGGUAAUGGCCUACCAAGACCGUGAUGCAUAGCCGACCUGAGAGGGUGAUCGGCCACACUGGGACUGAGACACGGCCCAGACUCCUACGGGAGGCAGCAGUAGGGAAUCUUCGGCAAUGGACGAAAGUCUGACCGAGCAACGCCGCGUGAGUGAAGAAGGUUUUCGGAUCGUAAAACUCUGUUGUUAGAGAAGAACAAGUGGGAGAGUAACUGUUCCCACCUUGACGGUAUCUAACCAGAAAGCCACGGCUAACUACGUGCCAGCAGCCGCGGUAAUACGUAGGUGGCAAGCGUUGUCCGGAUUUAUUGGGCGUAAAGCGAGCGCAGGCGGUUUCUUAAGUCUGAUGUGAAAGCCCUCGGCUCAACCGAGGAAGGUCAUUGGAAACUGGGGAACUUGAAUGCAGAAGAGGAGAGUGGAAUUCCAUGUGUAGCGGUGAAAUGCGUAGAUAUAUGGAGGAACACCAGUGGCGAAGGCGACUCUCUGGUCUGUAAUUGACGCUGAGGCUCGAAAGCGUGGGGAGCAAACAGGAUUAGAUACCCUGGUAGUCCACGCCCGUAAACGAUGAGUGCUAAGUGUUGGAGGUUUCCGCCCUUCAGUGCUGCAGUUAACGCAUUAAGCACUCCGCCUGGGGAGUACGGCCGCAAGGCUGAACUCAAAGGAAUUGACGGGGGCCCGCACAAGCGGUGGAGCAUGUGGUUUAUUCGAAGCACGCGAAGAACCUUACCAGGUCUGACAUCCUUUGACCACUCUAGAGAUAGAGCUUUCCCUUCGGGGACAAGUGACAGGUGGUGCAUGUUGUCGUCAGCCUCGUGUCGGAGAUGUGGGUAAGUCCGCAACGAGCCCACCCUAAUGUUAGUGCAUCAUCAGUUGGCACUCUAGCGGACUGCGUUACAACCGAGAGUGGGAUACGUCAAUCUCCUGCCUUAGAACUGGCUACCCCGUGCUUCACCUG